rnacentral:rRNA from 1 species
AGUGAACGCUGGCGGUAUGCCUAACACAUGCAAGUCGAACGGCAGCACAGUAAGAGCUUGCUCUUACGGGUGGCGAGUGGCGGACGGGUGAGGAAUACAUCGGAAUCUACUUUUUCGUGGGUGAUAACGUAGGGAAACGUACGCUAAUACCGCAUACGACCUACGGGUGAAAGCAGGGAAUCUUCGGACCUUGCGCGAUUGAAUGAGCCGAUGUCGGAUUAUUUGGUUGGCGGGGUAAAGGCCCACCAAGGCGACGAUCCGUAGCUGGUCUGAGAGGAUGAUCACACACACUGGAACUGAGACACGGUCGAGACACCUACGGGAGGAAGCAGUGGGGAAUAUUGGACAAUGGGGGCAAGCCUGAUCCAGCCAUACCGCGUGGGUGAAGAAGGCCUUCGGGUGGUAAAGCCAUUUUGUUGGGAAAGAAAAGCAGCAGGUUAAUACCCCGCUGUUAUGACGGUACCCAAAGAAUAAGCACCGGCUAACUUCGUG